rnacentral:rRNA from 1 species
CUGCCCAGAAUGCACCUGAUCUUGUCAGAUCACUAGAUGCUAAGCAGGGUUGAGUCUGGAUAGUGCUUGGAUGGGUGACCACGAUUUGCAAACUGCAAGU